AGAGCCCUUUCUAAGCCUCAGCAGAUGGUCAGCAGCCUGGCAGGCUGGAGGAAGGUGCAUGUCCACCUCCAACUACUCUCUAGAGCAACAAUCUGAAGACUGGGUUUCAAGCACACAAGUAAGUGAACCGAGUAGAAUGGGUAGACAGAAAAGUACAAUAGACUUAAAAACUAAAGUAGGAAGAGAAACAAUGAAAAGUAGAGACAUCCGUGGGUUGUGACAUGCUAAAGCCACAGAUAAGAAUUUAACAUUUUCAUGUUGCUAGAACCUAAGGCUCACAGGAAAACCAGACUUUGGUCCAUGCCAACUCUAAAAACUGACAACAAAACAGGAAUUGAAUCUUUAACCUGCUCUGCAUUCUAAUGAGUACCCCCAGAACUCCCAAGGACUAAACCAAUAACCAAAGAGUACACAUGGUGGAAUGCAUAGCUCGAGCUGCAUAUGUAGCAGAGGAUGGCCUAAUCGGACAUCAAUGCAAGGAGAGGCCCUUGGUCCUGUGAAGGCUCUAUGCCCCAGUGUAGGAGAAUGCCAGGGCCAGGAAGUUGAGUGGGUGGGUUGGUGAGCAGGGGGAGGGGAUAGAGGAUAGGGGGAGGGUGUUAUUUGGAGAAGAAACCAGGAAAGGGGAAAAACAUUUAAAAUGUAAAUAAAGAAAAUAUCCAAUUAAAAAUACUUAAAUUUUUAAAAAAAGAAAGAAAGAAAGCUAAAUGCUAAAAUCUGCCUUCUUUUGUUGGUUCUGUUAAUUUCUUAAAAGUUCUGUCUUUUCUUUGUAUGGGUCAGGGGCUUGUUAAACAUGGCUUUCUUUAAAAGCAUUGAAAACAUUUCCUCCCGUGAUGGUCCCUAUCAUGUGGAUGAUGUACUGGUUAUAGUCAGAUCUUUGAGUUCUUGCUCCCUGGCCUCUCAGAUUAGGAAGGCAGCUCAUUUACUGAAGCUGUAAGACUCUUAGAGACAUCUUAUUUUCCUCUGCUCCCUUGUAAUCUGUUGACCUGGGAGAAAUGGUCAAAAUACUGGUAUUCCUUUUAGCUUCUAUAUCAUCAUUGAUUUGGGCCUCUAACUAUGAUUAUUGAACAACCAGAGCUUCAGUUACAGCAGUAUUGACAAAUGAAUAAAAUUUGGUUCUAUAACAC
rnacentral:lncRNA from 1 species